rnacentral:rRNA from 1 species
ACGAACGCUGGCGGCGUGCUUAACACAUGCAAGUCGAACGGAAAGGCCCCUUUGGGGGUACUCGAGUGGCGAACGGGUGAGUAACACGUGAGUAACCUGCCCUUGACUUCGGGAUAACUUCAGGAAACUGGGGCUAAUACCGGAUAGGAAUCCUUGCUGCAUGGUGGGGGUUGGAAAGCUUCGGCGGUUUUGGAUGGACUCGCGGCUUAUCAGCUUGUUGGUGGGGUAGUGGCUUACCAAGGCUUUGACGGGUAGCCGGCCUGAGAGGGCGACCGGCCACAUUGGGACUGAGAUACGGCCCAGACUCCUACGGGAGGCAGCAGUGGGGAAUAUUGCACAAUGGGCGGAAGCCUGAUGCAGCAUCGCCGCGUGCGGGAUGACGGCCUUCGGGUUGUAAACCGCUUUCAGCAGGGGCGAAGCUUGUGGUGACGGUACCUGCAGAAGAAGCACCGGCUAACUACGUG